CAGAGAAACUCAGAAAAUUGUUGUGAAUGUUUUGGGUUUUUUUAAGCCAUGCUCUGAAGCUCAGCCUUGUUCCCUUGAGUACAGUUGUGUUACCAAGCAGUGUUUCUCUCCAGUCACAUUAAGAAUCACCCCAUGUCACACUGAGGAGAGACCCUUACCCCAGGUUAACUCUGCCCCAUCUGCUUCAGUCUCUGCAGGAAUUCAGAGUGUGAUCAGCUUAUGUACAGGUAGCCUUGAAGAGCCUCACAGUAGACUUUGAUGCCAGAGCUACAGCAGGUGCCAAACACUACUGAAGCACUGCAAGUACACAAAACUUCAAGGUAACAGAAAGGCUUUGGCUUCAAGGCUUCCCUCCAGCACUGCUGGCCCCUGCACAUGGAGGAAGCAGAAUCUCUGCUGUGUGUCAUGUUCUACAGGUGUUUCUAUGCUCCAAAGAGUGGUUUUAGUCUCAAAUUUAAGGUCAAAUGCCAUGGUUGGGUAACACUGCUUGUAGAGUAUGCCUGACAAAAUGACAGAACAAGUCUGUGGUGGAUGUGGGUGGAUUUCUCAAAGCCUCUCUUGUGCCCUGCUCAGGGUUAGAGGUGCAACAGGCCAACCCUGGGCACUGACACUUCCCUUGCUGGUGUAACUCCUUCAGAGGAUGCUUCAGUGGUCAGGAAUUCAGGUGUGCAUCCACCUAAACUUCUAUUUCUAUGCUGACCUAACCUGUAGGAUCUUGCCUCCUAUCUGGGAAUUUCUUAUUUCUGCUCUUAACAUGAUUUCACAGAAGCAAAUUCCUCUAUUUCUGCCAGAAGGCAUCACACUCGUGGGUAGCAUACAAACACUGGGGGAGUUUUGGCCUAGGAAAUGAUGGCUUUGGUUUGGGAUCCACUUUCUCAAAUCCACAAGGGUAGGGGGAUACAAUAUAAGAAAAUAAAAAUAGUGUAGAAAGUAAUCUUACCCCUAAGGAGUUGCAGCUGGGCCAAUUAUCAAAGAUUAGGAGCAGGCCUGACUUUAACAGGCCAUAGCUGUAACCAGUGAGAAGAAGAGAGCUCUUAAAGAGUGGGGUGGCUGGUUGAGAAGGGAACUGGAGUUAGCUGGCUGCUUUGUGAAGGAGAAAGGGUCAGUGCUCUGAGGAGCUGCCCACAGAAAACACCAGGGAGGUAUGAACCUUUUGUGAUAAGGAGACAGCAGUAUGGAAAGGAUGACAACAGAAGGGUGCAGAGAGGUGGGACUGCAAAUGAUGAUUUGGUCCCCGUGCUCCAGCUGGAUGGAGACCAGCCUUGGAUCUUCUCAGAGGCACCCAAGAGGAGCAGGCAGGGAAUCCCUGUGGUCUCAUGGCACUUGUGCUGUGGUUUUAGGGAUUGUCUUUUUCUGAGUGUCUCCUGCUCCCUUGCCUGAGGCACCUGCACCUCCUUCCAUUUAAUAUUUAGGAUGUCUUCUAGGAGGGCUUAAAUAUGCCAUGGAGCUUCCCAGCAGGGUAACAGCCACACUUUAUUACCCAGGCACGUCUCCAUUUGCUUUCCCUUCCUGCUGGGGGCCAGGGAGGGGCAGUGCUGUUUGUUUGGAAAUGCAAUUAGCCCAAGUGCUCGGGCCCAUGGCCAGCCAGGAGGAUAACCUUGAAUCCAGGGAAGUUAGGGGAAAUUUAAAGCCAUCUGCAGCUGCAAUGGGUCCCCACACAGCCCUUUGGCUCUGAGCUUCUAUUCCUGCCAAUAAAGUGCCAGAAGAUUCACACUACAAUGGGAAAUUGCUUCUUUGGGUAUCACAGUAUCUCGACUUAGAAGUGCUUUAACCUUGGCCUCAUGCUUCCUGCGGGGCCUGUUUGCUGUGCUGCACAAGUGCCCACAGCAGCCAGCAAUGUAUAGGAUUUUCCAUCUGAGGAAAAUUAAACCCCAGAACCUUUACCAUCCUCUCGAUGCCAGACAUGCUCUACCUGCAUUAACUUGAGCUUAAUGGACUGCAAAACGAGCCUUUCAGCGUGGAUGGGAGUGGAUUAUUUGCAGGAGAGCAAGUUCCUCACAUUUUUAUCUCUUCCCUUUCCCAAAGCUUUUGUCCUUUGGAAAAAAAAAAAAGAGAGAGAGAAAAGGCAAGCACAGCCAAAUUGUAGGAAGAGAGUCGGGCCCUAGGAAGUCCAGAGAACUGGGCAAGGCAGAGGGUGCCUCCACCAAGUCAGGUAAGUAAUGAAAAGAGCAAUGACCAUUGAUCCCUGUCUCUGAAACCAAACUGAUGUUUAUUAGCCAAGAUCUUGGUGGCAGGGUUGGGGAUGGUACACACACUCCAGGCCACUCUUCAGCACACCAGCUGAGCUCCUCACCCUGGCUUUAUUGCAGCCUUUCCCAAAGUCCUCCAGGUGGGACUGGGGCUGCAAAAGACAGAGCCUGCUGCUGGUGGGAUGCAAGGCAAGAUGGUGUUCCACUGAAGGAGGGGCAGUUUAUACUGGAUUGAAGGAAGAUGGUUUUGCAGUGAGGAUUGUCAGAGCCUGGCACUGGCUGCCCGGAGGUGGUGGCAUCCCCAUCCCUGGAAACAAUCAAGGCCAGGUUGGAUGGAGCUGUGAGCAACUUGGGCUAGUGGAAGGUGUCCCUGCUCACUGCAGGAGGUUGGAUUAGGUGGACUUUAAAGGUCCCUUCUGACCCAAACUAUUCUGUGAGUCUGUGGUCAUUACACAUUGUUUGGAAGGACAAUUUAAAGCCCUGCAAUUUCUUCACCUGCUUCAUUGGAGUUUUGCCUUCCAGAUUCACAAGAUUUUUUUCCCCAAACUCCAGAGGCUUGGAUUUGGCUGUUUCUCCAAACACAGAGCCAAGGCACCACUGAAUCCCUGAAGAGACAAUCCAUAUGGAUAACAGGAUAAUCCCUGUGCAAACUGGGAGGGAGAAUGGGCUGAUGGUUUCUCUUCAAGCUUUCAUGGGUUAGCACUGUCAAGACAAGCAGCAUGGAACAUUGUGUGUGUUUAAUGACCAAAAGUACCUUCACUGUGUCCUUCCCAGUGCCAGAUGCCUUGCAGUCUAAAUGAGGAUCUUUAAUAGAGGCAUUAAUUAUUACUGAAACCCUGCUUUAUCCCACUGAAACAAGUCUAAUAGCUCACACUUGCUCUGCCUCUCUCCUCCUUUCCCCAGAUCACCCUCUCCUGUAUCUGAUGCCAGCAUCAGGAAGGCUCCUUUCACCUGGCUGCUUGGGCCACCAGCACGGGGUGGUGUGCAGAAAAGGUCAGGCACAGGUCCAGCUCCAGGGCUGCUCCCUGAGCUGAGGAUUGGGAAGGAUGCCCUGAAACAGAGAGCAUCACUUGGUGCUGCCACACCCAGGCCCUUGCCUUCUUUUGUGGGAGGCCCAGUGCCCAGAAAAUACCAGCUCACAGGGAUGCCCAUAACUAAUGGAAGUAAUUAAUUAAAUGCAGCUAUCUCUUCCUUACCACAGGGAGGUGAGGCCCUGGCACAGGGUACACAGAGCAGCUGUGGCUGCCCCUGGAUCCCUGGAAGUGCCCAAGGCCAGGCUGGACAGGGCUUGGAGCAGCUUGGGAUAGUGGAAGGUGUCCCUGCCCAUGGCAGGGGUAGAAUGGGAUGAUUUCUGAGGUCCCCUCCUGUAGGAGGAUACAGUGUGGGUAAAUGAAGGGGGUGUAGAAGGUAAUCUUAUCCCCCAAUGAGUUGCAGCUGGAUCAAUUACUAAAGAGUAGAAGCAGGUGUGAUCCUAACAGGCCACACCUGUAGCCAAUAAGAACAAGAGGUAUAAAAGAGUGGCUUGGUGGGGGAAUCUGGAAUGAGAGGAGUCAGAUGGGUGCUGCAGGACCAGGAACAGUCAGAGCAUGGAGGAGCUGCCUGUGAGAAGCACUGGGGAGGUACAAAGCUCUGGGGAUAUGAAAUCCUUGCACUAUAACGACCUUAGAACUCAUGCUAACUAAGACAGCACCUUCCAACCCACACCACUCCCUGAUUCUGUGAAAUAGUGGCCCCAGGGAAGCCAGCACAGUCAGAGCACAUGAACUCCUGAGAAAGGAGAGGCUCUGUCUGUCUCUUGAGCAGCCCUGGAUAAGGCCCAGCCAUGGGUGGCCUGCCCAAAAGAUGAGGCCAUCUCUGCAGAUGGGUGCAGCCAUCACCUGCCCCCAGGGACGAGACCAGUCAGUGCUGGCAGGGGCACCACCUCGUUCUGUGCCAUCCCAAAGGAGCCUGGCUUAGCUUUUGUGUUGGGUUCUGUCUUUCCUUCCAACUUCCUAGUGCUUAAUUAUCCCUUUGUCUGUGUGGGGCUGAGUGAGCUGGCAUCUUCUGAGAGCAGAGCUUUUUUAGGUACUGGACUUAGUCAUGGUAAAAGAUACUUUCUUUAAAAAAAAAAAAAAAAGAAAAAGGGUCCUCUAUCUGCAAGUACAAAUGGUAUAUUUUGGUAUAUAAUUUACCAUAUGGUAUAUUAGAUGGCCCUUGAAAAGUUCUAGGCCAAACCAUUCUAUGAUCCUAAAUUUAUAAAUGCAGGCAAUUCCUUUCCAUGCCUUCCAUCCCCUGUGUUUUAAAAGCUAAGCUUCCACAGCACAAGGAAGCUGGAAUCUUGAUAAAUUUUUCAUUUUCUCUAUUGACUUGCUGUUGCAAACCCAUGUCCUUUUGCUGUGUAAAGGGCACCCAUUUGCCCUGUAUCCACAUGGGCCCUUUAACAACCACCAAAGAGAAACACUUUAUUGCUCUUGCUGUGCUGGAAUCCUGGGAUUUGCUCUUUGCUUUUCCCUCUAGCAGAGCUGUGGCUGCACAGGGGUUGCUGCAGUGGAUCUGUUCUCCAGGGGAUGGUCCCCAGGGCACUCAGCUCACUGUGUGCCACUGAAGCCAUGGUGUGCUGCUGCCUCAGGAGCCCUGGUAGGAUGGAGAGGAGCCAAAGGUGGGGAUUUUCCCAGGCUCAGCCUGGUUUGGAGUGUGCUUUGCAGCUCCCUGGGGGAGAAAGACAUUGCCCUGCUGUGCUCCGGAGCUGAGUCAUUCCCCCUGGGGUGUGCAGGAAAUAAUUCUGCAAUUAUAAAACAAUCUUGACUAAUGGCAUAUUAAUGAGGACAGGGAAAGGUGAUGCUCCUGGGAUGGGCUUUCCCACUGCUAGGAGAAGGAAGAGGGAACUGUACACAGCUGCUGCAUUUGGGGGGCAAAAAUGGCAUCACAUCAGUGAGGUUUGUGUAUGGGAACCCUAAGGAAGGACUUUUCCUGAGCCUGGGUCUGUUUCUUCUGCAAAAUUCACUGUUGUUCUGCUGAAGGUGUUGCCUCUGAGCUGUCCACUCUCUGACCUGCUCUUUUGCUCCAGUUUGAGUCCUUUUGGCUCCUUUUUCCAGCCACAUCUGCUAGGCUGUACCAUUGCUAUCUCCCCUCAUUUUUCCAACCCAUCAACUCUACCUUCCUCUACUUUCUGCCCUACCAAGCCCUCUGCUCUUCUUCACCCCUCAGCAUCUUCCUUCACCUUUAUCCACCUUCUCUCCUGCAUCUCCCACAAACACCUGAUGUGCUUUCAGGAGUGUCAGCCUGGGGGCAAGGGGAGGAUGGUGCCCAUGGAGGGGGUUGUGCUCUCCCAUCUGAUAACAUAUGUCCCAGGUACCUUUCCCUUCAGCUGGCAGCCUCUGGAAGCCCAAGAUGAACCUUUCAACAAGAUUAAAGAGAUGGUAUUAAUUGC